UACAGAGGGUGCAAGCGUUGUUCGGAAUUACUGGGCGUAAAGCGCGUGUAGGCGGCGAUGUAAGUCGGGUGUGAAAUCCCUUGGCUUAACCAAGGAAGUGCACUCGAUACUGUGUCGCUUGAGUGCCGGAGGGGAUGGCGGAAUUCCCGGUGUAGAGGUGAAAUUCGUAGAUAUCGGGAGGAACACCUGUGGCGAAGGCGGCCAUCUGGACGGUGACUGACGCUGAGACGCGAAAGCGUGGGUAGCAAACAGG
rnacentral:rRNA from 1 species